AUAGGCACAACUAUGUUGAUGGA
rnacentral:siRNA from 1 species